CAGUCGCCGCGGUAAUACGAGGGGGGCGAGCGUUGUUCGGAAUUAUUGGGCGUAAAGGGUGCGUAGGCGGUUCAGUAAGUCUUGUGUGAAAUCUUCGGGCUCAACUCGAAGUCUGCAUGAGAAACUGCUGGGCUUGAGUAUGGGAGAGGUGAGUGGAAUUCCCGGUGUAGCGGUGAAAUGCGUAGAGAUGUGGAGGAACACCAGUGGCGAAGGCGACUCUCUGGUCUGUAACUGACGCUGAGGAGCGAAAGCGUGGGGAGCGAACAGGAUUAGAUACCCCUGUAGUCCCUGUCUCUUAUAC
rnacentral:rRNA from 1 species